ensembl:lncRNA
AAUCCCUCUAUUGGGCAGUUGCCUUUUAUUUUAAGGUCAGUACCAUCUGAAUUUUCAAAUUGCAUGCAGACUAAUCAAUGAUUACCUUUUCUCUGCGCUGAAAAUAGCCUUCCUAGUUAAUACAUCACCACCAAACUCAGAGAUUUCUAGCCCGUACUUCAGUGUUUUCCAUUUUAAUCUCAGAGCAGAGAUAACUCUAGAUGUCUUAAAGCUUGCCUGGUCUCUACAAACCUUAUUAGAGAUCAAAAGAAAGAAGACAUGACUUCAUGCAGUCCUGGGCUACGUGUCGCACUGAAAAUACUCCGGAGCAUUCUGUGUGAAAAAGCUCUUUUAAAGGAACAGCUACCAAUAGGCAAGUGAGCCAGAAUACUUUUGUGCAGGAAUGUGCGUUUCUCACAUAGCUCAGGCUACCAAAAGGAAUACAAAUAUUUGCAGGAGUAGAAAAAGAUGCAGAAAGGACAGCGAAUCCUCUCACUGCUGAAACACCCUAAGUAGGAAGCAGUGGAGACUCCAAGGAGAAGAAGAGUCUGGAGAAAUCAGCAACUUAAGAGUAACAGUGAAUGAGAAGAAGAGACUGGGAGAGGGAAGAAAAAGGCCUCUGGAUUUCCACCAGAAUUAAACUGGAGAAAUGGGAGCAGGAGGGGCACAGGAGAAGCAGGUUAAAGAGAUUUUGCUCCUAUCUUCGUCAGCAAAGAGGGAGUAGGAAACAAGACCCAGACAGCAUUUCUCUCAAGUCUGCUGCUCUAGGCAACUGUUUACUUUGCUUUUGCCCAAGAUAGCGUGAGACGUUAUAAAAUGAGUUUCCACAAUGCUCUGAGUCACCAGAAUAUGGAUGAGAUCUGUGGAUUCAAGCCACCUUUCAAGAUUAUGAAUCUCUUCUGAAUAUCCAUUAUGCCAAUGAUACAUAACAAAAUCACUGCUGUAAUGUGAUGCACAUGUCAACUUUAAGGAUACAGUCCCUGCUCAGAUGGCAUCAGCAUAGGGAAACGUCAGCAUGGUGGAUUACCAGAGCAAAUGCUUUAACAUGCAAUGUGAUGCAAUGUGUUUUAACAACAAUUGUUCCCUUAUGUUUGUUUGUGUCAGGUUUGACGUGACUAUCCGCCAGGACAAUGCUCAGGAUUCUGUGUGUUGCAUUGCAGAAACUGAUUAUGUGAUCAAAUGCUUAAAGCACAUAAAAUCACGCCCAAGAUUCGAUGAGAUAUAUAUGCCAGAAAAUUCAGUAGGUGCUUAAAGUAAUUGACGCUAACAGCUAGACCUGGGUUUUUCAAAGGAAUAAGCGUUUUUGUUUGUUUGUUUUUCCUAAUGCAAUAUAAUAUAAACUGCCUAGAAAUUCAGCCUUAGCAUAAUGUUCAGAUCAAAUGAAAUUCACCCGUUAAGAAAGAACAUACACAGGGUCCUCCCUGAAGUGGAAAAGACAGCCUCUGAGUAGAACAGAUACCCUGGGAGACUUCUUACCCUGUGCACAUGCCCAAAAAGACAGCUCUGAAUCUAACUGCAUUGUAGAUCUAACGCUUGUAGGAUUUGGAGGCUCAACACUGAGCUGUAGCUCUCAGCAGCCCUUUUUCCCCAGUCCGUGAAACUCAGAAUCCAGUGGAGACAAAAACCUCUAUAGAAAUACUGUAUAUGUAAAUGGACUUAGAAGAAAAAGGGAGGGGUACCUGCUCUUAAAUUAGUCAUAUUUAAAAUGUAUUCUCAGAACACACUGAACUAUCAAACAGUCCCCAAAGUGAAGAAAUGUGAUUCUCAUUCAAGACUUAAGAGCAAAAGGCAAAACAACUGUGUCCCUUGCUCCAAAGUCAUUAUCUCACAUUAAGACUUCAUCCCGUUCUCCCAGUUCAGAAUUUAGUCUGGUUCUAAUGGCUCACUAGACAGUUUUGCAAGAUCUUCAUGCUCUCAUAGGUAUUUAGGCACUGAAAUCAGUGAGAAGUGGUACCUGUACACUUUCAGAAAUCUGUCUUUAAUUUCAACAUCCCAUAAAUUUUUUUAACAAAAACAUCCUUCAUCUUUUCUGCUUCACAAGUGAGUUGUGAAGCUUAAUUACACAAUGAUUAUGAAGUCCAGCAAAUACAACAUAUAUUAAGAGUACUUAAUGAGAUUUCUGUCACAAGCAGACUCUCUCUUGUAAAAUAUUACUCACACGUUGCAGGAAAAAAACUCAAGAGAAAAAAAUACAGAUGCAUUAAAUAUAAAACAAAUCUAGCUUGAUUACUUCCACAAGUAAUAUGUUAUACAACUCUAUAACAUCUGUCAGGACAGCAUAGAGAAUAGCAUAGGCUUUUCUGAUCAGAAUGGAAUCCUGUCAGCACGGAAUUCUGUCAGCACAUCCAUGUACUCAUUUUUACCUGCAGUGCCCAUCCAAGACAGGGCCUCCAGACCCACACACGAUCUGCUUCCCAUGAGAUCUAGUGGCUUAAAUACCUUCAAAGACCAGACAUGAAGUUCUGUUCCUUCAAAUCACAGAAUCAUGGAAUCAUAAAAUGGCUUGGGUUGGAAGGGACACCCAAGGAUCAUCAAGUUCCAAUCCCUCUGCUGCAGGCAGGGCCACCAACCUGUGGUGGUUGUAAAUAUUUCCCAAAAAGAUGCCAGCAUACUAACCAAUUACCACAUUUAACAGCACAGUGGAAGAUGGCUAGACAACUAUGAGCAGACAGACGAUCAUACAGAAGGCAUUGCUUGCAUACUUAGUGAUUUCUCAGGCCAUAACAAAGCAUACAGCCUAACUAGGGUAGGAGGACUCAAAAGAGGAAGACCAUUCCUUAAGAAUACAGAGCUGUUUGGCACAUUUCUGUGAACAAACAGUGUAGCUGUUAAAAUACAUUUCCUGUUAGCAAUUAUGGCUCAGAGCUCACAGACGCUUUUACAGAACUUGGACAGGAGUGAUUUUCAGUACAUAGUGUCUCUAACAGCAAGUUAUAUUAAUAUUCACCAAAGGAAAACCUGUUUGUUGACCCAAAGUGUGACUGCUUACAAUUCUCUUCUUGUGAAAUUAUUUAGGUCCUGUGGGACAACUGUACUGAGCUUUUGACGCAAAUAUUAAAAUUCUAUUUAAAUGUACAAUGUUUUAAUGCAAAUUUUUACCAUAAAACCAAAUGCUCCAUUCAGUUAAAUUAAUAGAAUUACAAAAAGAUGUAAUGAUAGCAAUUAAGUCUUGAAAAUGCAAAUUUUAUAGUCAAGGACAAUUACCUCAUUUAUAGUAUCCUGGAAUGAUGCCAGAUGAAGGUAAUUUAGAUCUCCCUAGCUCACAGUUAUAUCAUGAAGGAUAUCUUAAUUUCAUUAGUACAACAAAGAUGGGUGAGAACUUGGACAAUAUGAAAAAAAAAAGGGAGGGAGAGAUGGGAGAGAAAAUUUGACCUUUCUCAUUUCACCGCAACUAGAAUACAUAGAUCUUACUAAAGGAUUAGUAAUAUUUCUUUCUAUUCCUAUCUCUGGGGAAAAAAAGGGGGGGGGGGGGCACUUUUUCUUUUCUUUUUUUUUAUUAGCAGCAAUGGAACAUUAGUAUGAAAAAGGUCAACUCCCUUCAGAUUCUUAGAGCCACUAUGCCCACAUCACAACAGUUAUGGACCAUUCCUUAUUUCAGUUUUAAGGAUGAAUACAGCAUUGGCUCUUGGCUGACAGAGUAUCAAGCUAUGGCCUAGGGACACAUGGUUUUGACUCCAAUAUGAUUUAAAAUGUUCUUGAAAAAUUCUUCUUGCUCUUACAAAUACAGCCCCACUUCAUCCAAAGAGGCAAGUCAAAAAUCAUCAGUUUCUCAUUAGCAAGCAAAGAGUGAUCAAGUAGACAAAGAAUACAGAUUGAUAUGCCAUAGAUUCAGUAGUCUCCUUUGAAGGAAAAACAAAACCAAACUCUCAUACAAGUUCUUUAGCACAUUAUCAAGUUCAAAUAGGAGUUUGCAAUACUGCAGAUAUCCCUCUUCCUUUCCUUUCUCUUUGCUGUAGUAGCUACCCUUGACCCUUGAAGAGAUUUCAAAAAAAAAGCAUAUUAAAUAAGGUGCACCAUAAAGUUUAAUUUUAAAACUUUACAACUCUCAAUUUUUCUUCCUGGCCUGUUGUAGCCACUGCAAAGAAACUCAACUUCCAGAAAAAUAGCUGCAUCCACCUAAAAUCUUCUUACAUCAAAUUCCCUUACCAAACCUAACAUGUAGGCUCUGGAGAGAGCGGAAACCUCCAAGGACAGAGUAGCAAACUUCACCUCUCUCCUUAUCUUGAACACAACUAACAAAGAUAACAUGAAAAAGCCUUCCCAAGAGUAGAAAUAUCUGCUUACCGUCAGCAUUUGGUGGUUUUGCUGUAGAUGGUGCAUGCUGAAGCCAUCCCAACCUCCUGCUGACAAACCUUUCCUUAACACCCUGAGAUAGGCAGGUUCUAGAGGAUCGGCUUUAUAACUUCGAACAGCACCACAUAGCGACAGGAAUGCAGCAUUAGAAACCCCCAACACUCCUCAGAAAGGGUUUCUUCCAUCCAGUUAUUCUGUUUUAUGAAAAACAAGCCUUUUCUGAAGGAAAAAGUACCUUAAUUUUUCAUGUCAACGAUGCUAUCAGUCACCUCUGCCGCUUGAAAACAAUGGAUGACACUCUGGCUCAAGGAAAGCCACCUGCUUCCUUUGGGGUUAAGACGUCUUUUGGUGAAUUUCAUCUCCUAUCAAGCAAUAGCAAAAUUAGAGCUUGUACCACUAUUGCCUUCGUUCCGUGCUUUUGAUGCUUAUAAUCCCAUUACACCUGACAACUUAACCUGAGCUUGUUAUUCAUAGACAUGUAUGGUCUGAUGAAACAUUCCCAACUCCUGAAAAAUCUUUUUGUGUGCUGUUGGGAGAUUUGGCCUAAUAAGAAGUGCUUGAGUGGGUGUAGACUGGGUAUGUUUGUACCAUAUUAUACAAUAUGGCUUAAAUUUCCAUGGCAUUUUAUUGGAAAGUGUGAACCUGACAAGCUAAUAGUUUGUGAAUCUGUUGAGUCUCUGCUGUUGCAUGGAGAAAUGUUUUGUCUACGCUAUUCCCAGUAUGCUUCAAUUGUAAAAAAAACAGGCUGCGAUCAUAACACAUCUUCAUGUAAAUCAAAGUAAAUUUCUGCAGGACAAUAUUUACCACUGUUAUGUACCACAGAUCUCCCAAUUCCUCAUUUGACCUAACAGUCGGAAUGAUCUCAGGCCAGCAAUAAGCUGAAUACUGGUUGCUAAGUAAUAUUUAAUUUAAGCAUGAUGUUGUGGUCAACAAAAUGAAUUAGCAUUUUCUGCAUUAAUGAAGAUCCAGGCCUAAAAUCAAAUGAUGAUGUCAAAAAAUUAUGGAAAAUAUUAUUGAUCUAAUUCUUCCUUUUAUUACACUGACAGAGAAACAUGCUUCUUGGAAAUGUUACAUGUGAAGGAAGAAUUUUUCCUAUUGCAUCUUCUUUCAAGAGAUUCAGUUUUCUACUCAGGACUCCAAGAGAGUAAUUUACAUUUGUGAUCACCCAGCCAAUUCAAGGCAACUGUGGAAAGAAACACUAGUAAGAAUUCAUUUUGUUGAUCUUAUCAUAAAUGUGAGAGAGAUUUAACUUUAUCCUAAAUUCCACUAAAACCUAGAAUGCAAUAAAGAAAUAAUCAUACAUGAAUUUGAGUCAGUACUGUUCCUCAUCAUUAGGCCACCUGACAAGCUAGAAAGCAACUUCGCUAGUGCAUAUUCAUUCCAAAUUAAUACAGUAAUUCUGAAAACUGUUUCUUUUUUCCCCUACUUUUAUGCAUUUAUUGCUUUAUUUCUCUAUUGCUAUUUCCAGUCCAUAAUGCAAUGCAGCUUGUGGAAUGUAAUCCCCUUUCUUCUCCUGACCAAACUCCACUCUGAAUGCUGCAUGGAUGGGAUCCUUUCUUUUCUGUUUUUUUAAUGUUUUUCUUCUCACUUUACAUAUUCUCAAAAAUGAGAUGAAUUUCUGAUUAUUUUCCAUUUUCCCCACUUUAUGAAUAUUAGAGUGGUUUUCUUUUGCAAUGUGGCUUGGCCUGCAUUUCAAAGUCCACAUUUUGAGUGGUUCCCUGUGAUUUUUGGACACUUGGCAUUUUCUGGGUCCAACUCAGAGAACUGUUUGAUUUUCAAAUAUUCAGAGCAUUCUCAAAGCCUGUUAAGUACAGACAAUACUUUCAGUGUUCUUUAGGUCCUUUAGGCUUAUUUUUUCAUUAACCCAAAACUGAGGUAAAAAAAAUCCUGUGUUCUAUGAAUUCCACAGUGUUGUGCAGAGAAGGGCAGUGGGAAAACUGAGUUAAAUGCAGGAUUCAAGUUUUUCUGACUCUUGCACAACUUGUUGUCUAAUGGACCCCAUAGGCUCUCAGCAAUACCAGCUGUCUCUAAAAUUCAACCAACAGUGGAAAUGACUACCGCUGUUCUGUCCAUGGAAAGCAUGAAAAGGUUAUUUAAAAAAAAAAAAAAAGAGUGGCUUGCUUAGAUAUCACACAAAUGUAUUUGCUUUUUUUUUACUUAGUGAAAAGGCUGUAUUAUAAAAGUAAACUUUUCAAAACAGAAAAAGUAGGUAUCAAAUACAGGAAAGAAACAAAAAGACUAUAAAGUAAUCUUUACAAAAGCAGAUUGCACUGACACUGUCUUGCUCACAGUAACACACAAAGUAAUUUCAUAAAACCCAGCUUUUAUCUUGUUCUAAUAAAACAUCAAGCUAGCAACAUUAUGGUGAGGGCUUUCAUUUUCUUUUCGAUAUAGAUUCUGAUUGGAAGUAUUAGCUGAUGCAGCAGGAUAAAUAAAGAAAUGCCUAGAUUGUUAUGGUUCCCAAAGGUCAUUUUUAUGAAAAGAUCAGGAAAUAUGUUUCAUUGAAAUUAAAAGUAAAGCCAUAUCAAGUUUAAUAACAUUGUUACCAUAAUGACAUAAAAUUCAGUGAGAUGGUGUAAUGUUUAAUAUUUGACUGUCAAGCCUCUGCAGUGAAGCUGUGUGAAAGCAUUUAAACUUCUAAAACUGAAUUUCCUUUCAGUUUUAUUGCUGUUUUAUACCCAUCUCCUUUUUUUCCUUGCCGUAAUAUUCUGUGUUUCUUUGUUGAAUUUGAUGUUAUCAGUAAAAUACAAUAAAAACUCGUGGAGGGACACGUCUCUGUUCCAUAGAAGACUUAGCAAGGCUAGGCAUCCCCAGAUGACCAAAGGCUGUCUGUGCCAAAUCAUUUUUUCCAUCAAGUAAGAACCCCAGCAGUGUUGUAGGGCAUGGCAAGAGGGACGCUGUCAGGGCACAGCUACCCUCUGGGUUUUCUCAGUUGUGGCACUGUCAGAGGUGGAUUAAUAUGAGAAGCUGUAUCAGCCCUCAGCGAUUCUGGGAAAGGUCUGGCAUAAUGCCACUGUUCCCGGGUCUGCAUUCACAUAAACAAUUGUAAAGACGACUGAAGCCAGCAACUGCGAAGCCUGAGUGGUCUCUGGCUUUGUACAGCCUUUUGUUGGACACUGUGCUGAGUGCUAGGAUCAGAGAAUUGAAAAGUUUACAGCUUGGCACAGCUCUGCAAAAUUCUGAUUUUCAGAUAAAUAAACAAAACCCUGUCUCCAUCCAUGGGACCAAAAUUAUUCAAUACACUAAACAACAAGUAACAUUCUGGAAACAAAUUCUUUCUUUAAAAUGCAAGCUUGGUUUAGCACAUUUUCCCAGGAUGAAUUUCACCAGUUUAGCUUAAGAGUUGUUCAGUCUCAUCAGUGUAAAAAACAAGUAGCUGUGAACAUUCCUGAAACACUUACUUGGAGAUUCUCAUAAAGGAAAGAUCUGAGUGCCCGAACCACCAGAGUCCAUACAACCAUAGAACUGCUUGAGUUGGAAGGGACCCUUAAAGUCCAUCUUGUCCAACCCCCCUGCAAUGAACAGGGACACCUACAGCCACAUCAGGGUGCUCCCCUUUAGAUACUGAAAGGCUACUAUCAGGUCUUCCUGGAUAUUUCUCUUCUGCAGGCUGAACAGCCCUGGCUGUAAUACAGCUAAAUAUUCUGAUGGUUUUACCUCAUAGUUUUCCAUCAGCUUUGUUGCUGAUAGAGGAUGCAAAGAUUGAGGAUUUAAGCUUGCUGUAUUUGUUCUCUUUGUCUUUUUGCCAGACUGGCUGUGAUGAGCAGGUACUGGAUAUGCAGUUUGGUCUGUUGCAGCUGUUCUAGUACAUAAUCUGAUUCAAAAACAGGGAAUAUUUGGAGACUCUUAUUGGUAAAUACUGCUACUAUGGAUUUUAUAAGUACUGCAGAUGUGCCCUUGCCACCUUUGAUCUAGUAACAUGGUGCUUCUUACUAUGUGGACAAAUAGCUCUGAAUGUACAACUCAAAGAUUUGCCACUCUCCAUGAACAAGCUUCACUUUCUGCCAUUUGUGCCUGAGGUUAUUAUUUGAGCUGUGUGGAUCAUUCCUUACGAAAAUUAGAACUGUGAGCUAUUUAGCUGGACUUAUCUUUUCUAUAAAGGUGAAACUAAAUAGGUCUGACACAAAAUAGCUGUGGAAUGAGAGAUUCUGAUUCUCCUUGGAGCUUGUUUUAUACAAAGACCAUCUUAAAUUGCAUGUUUGCUAAUUCCUCUGUCUUAAAGACCUCAAGGAAGGCAGAAAGUAUGAUACAUCUACAUGAGUUGUACCCAGCUCUAGGCUGAUAGAGACUUUAGGCAGUAUUAAAACUGCCAUCGAUUCCAAAUCCCUAUCUUUGGGUCACAAUAAGACCAAUGAAGGUCUGCACAUGGGCCUUAACACACCUAUGUUGCUGCUAUCUUGUCUCGUGAAGCAUGACAUCCUUCUUAUAGAUUCACUGAAUCAACAUGUAAACUUCUCUAAUAAAAAUGGAAAUAAGAAUUUAUUUCUGCAUUUUAGUUUUUCUUUGCAUUUUCUGGAAGCAGUGCAAUAUAAUUCAGAUGCAGUGUGAGAAAGGCACUAUGAAAUCAUAAAUAAAGGACUCCAGUAUUCCUUUAUGAAAAAUCUUUUAACAUAAUAAAUUAAUAAUUAUUACUUCUACGGGGUUUUAUUUUGUUGUUGGUGGUGGUGUUUGGUGUUUUUUGUUGUUUGGUUCUUUUGAAGAAUCCUGUAAACCUUAACAGGAAAUUACAUGUCCAGUGCAAAAGUGUAUGAGAAGAGUCAAGAAAUCUAUGUCAUGGCUGUCAUUCUUCUUUCAAGACUAUUAACCUGAAAUCCUGGCUUCACUGCAUCUUAGCACUAAUUUCAGCAAAAAGUCAGACGUUCACUCCAUCAUGCUUUAGAAGCAACUGUCACUGUGUUAAAUUCUGCUCCUUCUUUCCCAUUCUCUUUUCCUGCUUGUCAGGUAAGUGUCUAUAAAUGUCAUGAGGCCAAAAUAAACUGGCGUGUGGAAAGACAGAUGUCUAGGAACAAGAAGGCAGAAUUCUUUGGUAAGACCAGGUAGAAGUAGAUAGGGCAAAGGGUUUGAUGAAAAAGUUGAUGAAGGUUUGGAAAUUGAUGAGAAUUCUACAUCUCAAGCCAAAAUGCAGGGGUUAAAGUGUUGCAGAAUUAUUUGGUCUUCAGUGAGAAAAAUGGUUCUGCUAAGUAGUUAUACAAAUGUACUAUUUAGUCAUUCACCACAAGAAAGUGUCAGGUUUUACUGUUACAGAGCAAAGAGGGACUACAGAGGAACAUACUGCUUUCCUUAGCCUUGCUCUCCUUCUGGAUGCAAUGUUUUGUGUUACAACAUCUUGAAAACUUUUCAGUCAGAGAAAGGAGCAGCCCUGCAGCAAUGAAAGAGCAGGUGAUGGACUAAUAAUAGGAUCUCUUGUUUAUUUCCUCUUCUUUUAUUGAUGAUCAGCCUGUGGUGUGUUGAGCUGGAAGGCAGAAAAAAAAAAAGGCCAGGUCUCACAUUAGCAAGGAGUCCUCCAGCUGUUAAAGGUAAAAGUCAUCCUGGGUGAGGUCAGUCUCUCACAGUGACUCAAACGGACAGUCUUGCUUGUGUCAGCAGAAGCUCAGCUACCAUCACAGCUGCACAAACGUGGGCACUGCUUCUUCAACUAACUGCCUGGAGAUUAGACAGGUUGCUGCACGUAGGGAAGGCAGAAAGAACUCUGGUAGGAUGAACACAGGUUGGAGUGUCGGAGUGAACACUGUGAGCCCUUCCUGUUCAAGGUUACAAGAGAAGGAGGGGCCACAUUCUGAACGUGGCAGGGCUAGGCAUGUAUGGAAAAGCCUGGGAAGCAGCAAGUCUUUUUUCCUAGUUCAAAGGCCUAACCAAGCUGUUCUAGGCACCAUGAGCAUGAGCUGGGAGAGCCCAACAAGUCACUGCCAGUGCUCUGCUGCCUGGCACCAAGGCUGCUUUUUGCUUUCAGAUGCUCUGUUGUUUCUCGUUUGUAUAACACCAGUCCUUGCCAGGUGCUCCUGGGGUCUAUUUUAAGGCAAAUAAAAAUGUUUUGUCUUUCAAAAUAUCUGUGAGAUCUCUGGGGAAAACGUACUGAAAUUUUGGUUUCCAGAAACUCUCACAGAAAGUCUGAAAAUUCAAAACACUGAGAGAAAUUUGGGUUUUGAAUCCUUGAAAGCAUGCAAUCUUACAGUGGUCCUAGCAAUUAAAGCACUGGCAGCUGAUUUCCCAUAGAAACAGAAGUGCCAGAUAUCAUGCCAGAGGUUCAUUUACUGAGCUGAUCCACUGUGGGCAGAAGCUCAAUGUUCCUGCAAUGGUCCUUAGGGCAAAACAAUUCCCUCAAAAAAGAGAAGAUGAUUCAGAAUUAUUUCACUGAAAACACACCUGGUAUUUUCUGGGUCUACUCUAGCAAGGAAACAAAUCUACAAUAAAACAAGCAUAAAACAAUGGAUAAGACACUGCUGAAUGUUUGGUCCCGUGGACAAGACAGGAGAUAAUGCAGAUCGUUGAUACUGAAUAAACAUCAAACUCUAAGCUGCACUCACUUGCCAUGUUCUGUUUUCUUGAUUAAAUCGAGUUGUUUUUGUUGAGAGGAAGAUAUAGCAAGCUGACAGCCAUACCGCCCUACCUUGCACACAACUCUACAGUAUAGAACUUAGUGUGUUUACAGUCAAUGUUCGCUAAAUCUGAGUUGCCAGGUGAAAUCAUUGCAUUUGCCUGUUUCCUUGUCUAAUGAAAAAAAUGCUUGUGAUAGCACUUGAGGUCACAACAGCACUUGGCUAAUGCAGUGAUGAUUUAAAAAACAAACAAACCAAAAAAAAAAACCAACCAUAAUUUUUUUCUGGAUUUGUUACAUGUGGGAUUUAAAGGCAGUUGCUGUACAGUGCCUGGAAACCUGAUUCACCUGAGUCACAAUUCAUCCAAUACAUCACGAUAACAACAUGUCUGAGGGAUGGGAGGCCAUCCAGAGAGAUCUAGACAGGCUUGAGCAGUGGGUCCAGGUGAACCUCAUAAGGUUCGACAAAUCCAAAUGCAUGGUCCGGCACCUGGAUCAUGGCAAUCCCCGCUAUAAAUACAAGCUGAGGUACUAGAAGAUAGAGCACGGCCCUGUUGAGAAAGACUUGGGGGUACUGGUGGAUGGCAAGCUGGACAUGAGCCAGCAAUGUGCCUUCUCAGCCGAGAAAGCCAGCUGUAUCCUGGGCUGCAUCAAAAGAAGCAUAGCCAGCAGGUCAAGGGACAUGAUCCUUUCCACCUCUAAGACCUCACCUGGAGCACUCCAUCCAGAUGUGGAAUUCUCAGUACAGGAGAGUCAUGGACCUGUUGGAGCGCAUCCAGAGGAGGGCCACAAAAAUGAUCCAAGGGGUGGAACACCUCCCCUGUGAGCACAGGCUGAGAGAGCUGAGGCUGUUCAGCCUGGAGAAGAGAAGGCUCUGGGGAGACUUCAUAGUGGCCUUUCAGUAUCUAAAGUGGGAGUGUAAGAAGGAAAGGGACAGACUCCUUAGCAGAAUCUGUUGUGACAGGACAAGGGGAAAUGGUUCCAAACCAAUAGAGGGGAGAUUUAGACUGGAUAUAGGGAAGAAGCUAUUUACUGUAAGGAUGGUAUGGAUGUCCUGUCCCUGGAAACACUCAAGGUCAGGCUGAAGCAAUCUGAUGUAGCUGCAGAUAUCCCUGUUUAUUGCAGGGGAGUUGAACUACGUGAGCAUUAAGGGUCUCUUCCAACUCAGAUUAUUCCUUGAUAAUUUAUCAAGGAAGUCUGAGGGCUUGGACAGGGUGUUGAUGAGACACUGAAGUAUGUGGACACCAUUACUUACUAUAUUAUGUCCUCAAGGAGUGGUGUGGAGGGAAUGGCUGCCCUUACCCCAUGGUACAGGAGCUUUUUAUCUGCAUCUCCCAGGAUCCAAAGAGAAGCCCCACUCCUUGAUCACUGAAGAUCAAAUUGAGCUAUUUACCUUCUCAAGUGUUAACAUGCAUUGGUGGCAUAUGCUUCCAAGGCUUUCUUUUGCUUGGUUUUGUUGUAUACAUGUGGAUAAUGCCAGAUAAGAUUUUGGCGCUAAGAAGGUUUCACUGAGUGCUUCUCUUUUCACCUCAUUUUGGUCUCUCCUUCUUUAAUGACCAGUGAAUUACAGUCAAUUAAAGGUGACUGAUAGGAACUGCAGGGAAUACACUCAUAAAGAAUUAUGAAAAAUAGCCAUGUACCUUGUGACCAGCGUAUACAAAUUACAUCAUAAGCAGGAAGUAGUUAUGGUUGAUUGGAGCAAUUAAAUGUUUUCUUUAAGAAAGGAAAAAAACCCUCCAGUGAGAAUAUUUUAGAAAAUGGCUUUUUAAUCAUCUGUAGAACUGCUAGAAUGUCUGUCUUCUAAUAGUUUUAAAGUGUUCCUUAGUUAGAAUUAGCUGUUAUUCUACAGAAUAGCCAAAUACUUCCCCAGGAACCUGCUUACAUGAAAGUUUAUUUUUAAUCACAAGAUCACAUCCAAAAAAAUUUACAUAGGCCAAAGGAGACCAGAGAAGAUUUGAGCACCUGUCCCCGGUGUAUAAACAGCUACAAAUUUGGGAGCCAUUGCACAGGAGAGAAUACUUUCUACAAUGAUUCAGGAAGACAUGCACACAGCAAGAUUCACCACUCAAAUAAGAAGCAUUAACGCUGACAGAAAAAUCAGGUGUUUCCAGCAGUAUCAGAUGCAUACUAACCAGCAUCCUGCCACAUUAAUCAACCAGCUAAUGCCUUCAGACUUGGCUGGUUCAUCAUCUAUCCUCAUCCCUGUAGACACCACUAGUUCCGCAUGGGCAAGGACACAUUUUGGGAGGGGAAGGACCAUGGCAGCAUGCUGUGGAAGAGCAGUCUCUGCCUAGCAGUGUGGUGAGCUGCAUAUGAGCCACAUGGGCAGAUGACAAGGGACAGCUUGGUGGUGCCCGUGCAAGCCAAUGGGGGAGCUUCUGCGCGUAACAUGCCUCAGCAGUCCACUUUUGCCUGCCCGUGGAUGGGAAUGCUGCUGGUCUGCACAGCCUGGGCAUAGGCAGCGGGGGCAGUGCUGGCAGUGUGUACCAGCACCCAGCACACCAGAUGAGAGCAUGCGAAUUGGAAACUGGCUAUUAUAGACAAUAGCCCUAAAAAUCAUCCUCUUGGUACAGAGAGAACACAUGCCUGAUACUCUACCAAUUGCCUAGCUUAACACUGAGGAUACAGCUCAGGAUGUCAUAUAUGUUCACACCUUCUUUCAAGGAGACUCAUGAUGCUGGAAAAGGGUGAAAAGGCUGUAAACAGUGUUCUUUGGUCAAAGAAACCCAGAACAUGUUUCAUAUAAUAAGGUUAUUUUUACUAUUUUUUAAUCUCAGCAGAAAAUUCAUUAUAUUCCUCCUUUUUCUCUCAGCUUCGACUGUGUGUCCCCUUUGUGCUUGCAAAACAAAGGUUAUUUUUUACUCACCUGUAUAAAAUGCUCGAAGAACUCCAGAUGAUUGAAGAUAUAAAAGUCAAAGGAAAUAUGUAUAUAUGCAUGUUUAUAUAUAAUUGUUGUUACUGUUGCAGUCUGCGAGAAAAACAAAAAUUAUUCCUAGCAGAGCGUCAGGUUUUUAUUUAUUUAUUUUUUUAUGACUUUGGAAGCUUUUUAAUAGCUAGUGAUCAGAUGAAACAACUGCUCUUGAAAUCAAUGAGAACUGGAUUACGUGCUGGAGAAGAGAAAGCUUCAGGAGAAAAUGUUUACAUUACUGUUAUCUUAGAUAAUCACCAUUUCUGCCUAUGUCUUCCAGAAAAACUCAUUUUGUAUCUCUGAAAAAUAUGUAAUGAUUUCAAGAUCAUUUCAGAGGCCAAACACACUAGAAAUUCAAAUCCAUGAUCUAAAUGCUUACAAAAAGUGUCUCAGAUCAGUAAAAACAAGCUGAAGAGAAUGAGAAGAUACUCUUUGAUUAUCUAACCUCCUUGACUGCAGUACGUUUAUUCUGUUUUCUUCUUACCGUUUUCUUCUUCUUGAGGAUUUGAAAUUACUUCUCUUUGAAUGUAGAGGAUAUAAAUUAAUCAAUAAAGUCAAUAGUAGCGCUUAUAAACAUAGCUUAAAUAUAUAUCUGUGUGUCCUACGCUACAAAAGAUAGCAGCAACUGAAGCAAUUUCCUCCAUGGCCUAAAUCCUAACUACCAUCUAGUUCCAGGAAAGCUAGUACAGCAUUUGCUGUUUCACACGGAUGCCAUAAAACAAACAUACCAUUAAAAUGAACACUGACACAUUUAUAGUCGUACAGCUUGGCUCUUCGCUGUGACGUUGCCCUUGAAGUGUUGAUGUCAUACCAAAAUUGCACCUCCUCCUACAGUGUAAAUUAUUCUGUAAUUCCAUGGUUCUGUGAUAGCACUACUGUGCCCACCAGUACUACAAUGGACUCGUUAACAGCUGAGCCUUUCCUUACCACUACAGCCUCAUGAACUGCCUCUCUGCUGCUCUUCACUGCAGGAGGCCAGCUUACAUUGCUAUUGGUAUUAACUGUUAACCAGCCUAUCUGCACUCAGACAGAAAUCAGAGUGAAACAGCAACAUUCAGCAUUUCUCAAAAGGUAAUCUAAGUUCUGGAUUUUCCAUCCAAGUGGCACAAAGUCCUUUGUAACAUGCAGCGACAAGGCUUGCAAUUCAGGCCCUCAGCUGUUGUUCUUCACACCUCUCAGGAUUUGGUGAUGAAAAUGACAUUCUGAUGUAGGGCACAUUAGCCCACUACUUUGAGUGCAAGGCCAUGUGGAUGUAGUCACUAAUGCUGUGGGAAAGAUUUGUAUC